rnacentral:rRNA from 1 species
CUGAAUAUACCGGUUCUCGUUAGAUCACCGAAGUCAAGCAUCAUUGGGCGCGGUCAGUACUUGGGUGGGUGACCACCUGGGAACACCGCGUGCCGUU